GGGCGCUUAGAUCAGCCUGGAAGAUCGUCUGGUUUGCAACCAGAAGGCCGGGGGGUUCAAAUCCCCCAGCGUCCACCA
rnacentral:tRNA from 1 species